rnacentral:rRNA from 1 species
UACGGUCGGAAAUCGUACGUAGAGUGUAAGGCAAAGAGAGCUUGAUUGCAAGACAUACAGGUCGAGCAAGGAUGAAAAUCGGACUUAGUGAUCCGGUGGUUCUGCGUGGAAGGGCCAUCGCUCAACGGAUAAAAGCUACCCUGGGGAUAACAGGCUUAUCUCCCCCAAGAGUCCACAUCGACGGGGAGGUUUGGCACCUCGAUGUCGGCUCAUCACAUCCUGGGGCUGUAGUAGGUCCCAAGGGUUGGGCUGUUCGCCCAUUAAAGC